rnacentral:lncRNA from 1 species
GGUUCUGCUGAGAGCAUGAGAGGUGUGCAUAACCCCUCAUGGCUGUGGCUACAGCUCCAUCUGGCAGCCCUAAACUAGCUGCAGAGACUGAAAAGAACAUGUCUGUGGUAGCCUCUGGUGAGUAAAAGACCCUUUUUAAGUCCAGUGAGAUUUAUAUAAUGUUUAGAAGCUGAUGAGAUUGAGUUGAUGGUAAGGGUUAACUCACCAUUGGACUGUUUCAAAUGAUUAUUUACUUCUUGGAUACUUUUCAUUUUAUUUUUCUUGAUCAUUGUGAAGCAUUUGAAUGGUUGGACAUAAACCAGUCCUCUGUCUUGUUUCUGCACUAUAGUUGUAGGCGUAAGUGGAAAACAACUGAUAAUGGAAAUUUUGACCAUUUUUUUCUCUCUCCUGCCAGGGAGGACAUGUAUGCUCAGGACUCUAUAGAGCUACUGACAACGUCUGGCAUCCAGUUUAAAAAACAUGAGGAGGAAGGGAUUGAGACCCAGUAUUUUGCAGAACUUCUUAUGACCUCAGGAGUGGUUCUCUGUGAAGGGGUCAAAUGGUUAUCAUUUCAUAG